rnacentral:rRNA from 1 species
AUUGAACGCUGGCGGCAGGCUUAACACAUGCAAGUCGAACGGGGUGAUGGUGCUUGAACUAUCACUUAGCGGCGGACGGGUGAGUAAUGCUUCGGAAUCUGCCUAUUAGUGGGGGACAACAUCUCGUAAGGGCUGCUAAUACCGCAUACGUCCUACGGGAGAAUGCAGGGCAUCACUUGUGACCUUCUGCUAAUAGAUGAGCCUAGGUCGGAUUAGCUAGUUGGUGGGGUAAAGGCCUACCAAGGCGACGAUCUGGAGCGGGUCUGGGAGGAUGAGCCGCCACACUGGGACUGAGAAACGGCCCAGACUCCUACGGGAGGCAGCAGUGGGGAAUAUUGGAGAAUGGGGGGAACCCUGAUCCAGCCAUGCCGCGUGUGGGAAGAAGGCCUUAUGGUUGUAAAGCACUUUAAGCGAGGAGGAGGCUCUUUUGGUUAAUACCCAAGAUGAGUGGACGUUACUCGCAGAAUAAGCACCGGCUAACUAUGUGCCAGCCGCCGCCGUAA